CAGCUUGUUGGUGAGGUAGUGGCUCACCAAGGCGACGACGGGUAGCCGGCCUGAGAGGGCGACCGGCCACACUGGGACUGAGACACGGCCCAGACUCCUACGGGAGGCAGCAGUGGGGAAUAUUGCACAAUGGGCGAAAGCCUGAUGCAGCGACGCCGCGUGAGGGAUGACGGCCUUCGGGUUGUAAACCUCUUUCAGCAGGGAAGAAGCGAAAGUGACGGUACCUGCAGAAGAAGCGCCGGCUAACUACGUGCCAGCAGCCGCGGUAAUACGUAGGGCGCAAGCGUUGUCCGGAAUUAUUGGGCGUAAAGAGCUCGUAGGCGGCUUGUCACGUCGGUUGUGAAAGCCCGGGGCUUAACCCCGGGUCUGCAGUCGAUACGGGCAGGCUAGAGUUCGGUAGGGGAGAUACGGAAUUCCUGGUGUAGCGGUGAAAUGC
rnacentral:rRNA from 1 species